UCAGUAUCACAUUGUACAUUGAUCUGAAACUGAAAAAGUAAACAAAGGCAAGACUAAGGCUAUGUCACAUUGUACAAUGUGAUACUGAUACAUCCCACGCUAUAGAAAGCUGAUAGUAACAUUAUACACUAGCAAAAAUUUGCAAAGAAAUUUCCUGAGUACAAUCAUUCGAAACUGGCCUCCCCAGCCUUUCAUUAUAGUGAUUUUGCAGACAAGAUUCUAUGAACAAUUUACUGAUUCUCAAGGCAAAAAAUGAAGCAAUAAUUUGAGCAAUGAGAUGAACAUUCUUACAGACACAAGAACCCCCAGUAAAUUGAUGAGGGACUUAAAUAUGAACCGGAGUUGGAGAGAAAAAGUCAUGUUCGGAAUAUUAAAUUGCAAUAUAUUUGACCCUCGACCUCCAACGUCUCCACCCAUUUGAAGUCCAGCCAUUUUAUCCACCCCGCAUCUACAAUUUGAUCCAACUUCAAUCAUAAAGCCGUUGUGCAUACUUCUUCAGCUGUAGGCAUCAAGACCGAAAGAAAUCUACAACCACCUCAUCAAGCAGACAACUAUAUAUUUGGCCCUCAAUGUCCGUUCCAAGUAAAAAUGCAUCAACUUCAAAGUCCAGCCAUCUUCCGUAUUGAGUGCUCAUGUCCUUGUCCACAAGCUCAUCCACCAUCAAGUCUCCCAUGCUUUUCCAACCUGAGAUA
rnacentral:misc_RNA from 1 species